rnacentral:rRNA from 1 species
CAUGCAAGUCGAACGGUAACAGGAAGAAGCUUGCUUCUUUGCUGACGAGUGGCGGACGGGUGAGUAAUGUCUGGGAAACUGCCUGAUGGAGGGGGAUAACUACUGGAAACGGUAGCUAAUACCGCAUAACGUCGCAAGACCAAAGAGGGGGACCUUCGGGCCUCUUGCCAUCGGAUGUGCCCAGAUGGGAUUAGCUUGUUGGUGGGGUAACGGCUCACCAAGGCGACGAUCCCUAGCUGGUCUGAGAGGAUGACCAGCCACACUGGAACUGAGACACGGUCCAGACUCCUACGGGAGGCAGCAGUGGGGAAUAUUGCACAAUGGGCGCAAGCCUGAUGCAGCCAUGCCGCGUGUAUGAAGAAGGCCUUCGGGUUGUAAAGUACUUUCAGCGGGGAGGAAGGGAGUAAAGUUAAUACCUUUGCUCAUUGACGUUACCCGCAGAAGAAGCACCGGCUAACUCCGUGCCAGCAGCCGCGGUAAUACGGAGGGUGCAAGCGUUAAUCGGAAUUACUGGGCGUAAAGCGCACGCAGGCGGUUUGUUAAGUCAGAUGUGAAAUCCCCGGGCUCAACCUGGGAACUGCAUCUGAUACUGGCAAGCUUGAGUCUCGUAGAGGGGGGUAGAAUUCCAGGUGUAGCGGUGAAAUGCGUAGAGAUCUGGAGGAAUACCGGUGGCGAAGGCGGCCCCCUGGACGAAGACUGACGCUCAGGUGCGAAAGCGUGGGGAGCAAACAGGAUUAGAUACCCUGGUAGUCCACGCCGUAAACGAUGUCGACUUGGAGGUUGUGCCCUUGAGGCGUGGCUUCCGGAGCUAACGCGUUAAGUCGACCGCCUGGGGAGUACGGCCGCAAGGUUAAAACUCAAAUGAAUUGACGGGGGCCCGCACAAGCGGUGGAGCAUGUGGUUUAAUUCGAUGCAACGCGAAGAACCUUACCUGGUCUUGACAUCCACAGAACUUUCCAGAGAUGGAUUGGUGCCUUCGGGAACUGUGAGACAGGUGCUGCAUGGCUGUCGUCAGCUCGUGUUGUGAAAUGUUGGGUUAAGUCCCGCAACGAGCGCAACCCUUAUCCUUUGUUGCCAGCGGUC